UCCUCAGUAGCUCAAUGGCGGAGCAACCGGCUGUUAACCGGUAGGUUGUUGGUNNACCAACCUGGGGAG
rnacentral:tRNA from 1 species